rnacentral:miRNA from 1 species
CAGGAAUGGUGCUGGAGGCUGA